AUUGAACGCUGGCGGCAUGCCUAACACAUGCAAGUCGAACGGGGCAGCAAUGCCUAGUGGCGGACGGGUGAGGAAUACGUAGGAAUCUGCCCUUAAGUGGGGGAUAACCAGGGGAAACCCUGACUAAUACCGCAUGAUCUCUUCGGAGCAAAGAGGGGGACCGCAAGGCCUCUCGCUUCUGGAUGAGCCUACGUCUGAUUAGCUAGUUGGUAGGGUAAAGGCCUAACAAGGCGACGAUCGGUAGGUGGUCUGAGAGGACGAUCACCCAGACGGGGACUUAGACACGGCCCAGACUCCUACGGGAGGCAGCAGGGGGGAAUAUUGGACAAUGGGCGAAAGCCUGAUCCAGCAAUGCCGUGUGUGUGAAGAAGGCCUUCGGGUUGUAAAGCACUUUUAGUGGGGAAGAAAAGUUCAAAAUUAAUAAUUUUGAGCUGUGACGUUACCCACAGAAAAAGCACUGGCUAACUCUGUGCCAGCAGCCGCCGUAAAAC
rnacentral:rRNA from 1 species